UGAAGGUUUAAGGAUUGUCCUUGCUGAACGUCGAGCGAGAAAGUUUGGAACUGAUAGAACUAUCUUCUAUAAAGUUAAUUUAGUUUAAGACUGUGCACCAUGCACUAAUGCACGAAUGGUUCAGCACAGCACCUUACUAUAUAGACCUUUAUCUAAAAUAGUUUCGAACUGAUCAAGCUAUCUAGUGUGAAUAAAGUUCAAGUUUAUAUCCAAACACAUGAUCUUGUAUGGUGUGUUUGACACUUGCGGUAUACGUAAGAUGAAACGUGCUUAGGGACCGGUCAUUAUUUAUGGCGGGGGGUGGCACCGAAGAGAAAAAGGUUGGGUAAACAAAAUUUAGAGUAAGUAAAAGGUUGGGUAAAUGAAAAACAAAACAACUCAAGGGUUGGGUAAUAAAAAUUUAUUGUCAUUUCAAAAACAUGACUCACCAUCAAAAUAUUGUUGACUGAAAAGCCAUGUCAACAGUCAUUUGGCAAUACAAUAUUUGAAUCAAUCAGAGUCACUAUCUUGAUCAUUUUGACAAAACAAAUGGUGUCUCCAAAGAAACUACAUGUGUUUAUUGUGCAGACAACAUGAAACUUUAGACUGCAGAAAAUUUCACAAGCCGUUAUCAAACUCGUGUCACAGAAGUGGUAAAGGACAUGUGUGACAACUGAAUGGUGUCUUUUUGUAACGUUUUUGGCCAGGGGUGGGUAAUUAUUUUGUAAUUGAUAUUUGUGGUUGGGUAACCAAAUUUUUUACUUUUUAAUGGUUGGGUCAGCAAAAUUUUUGCUACGAAAAACAUUUCUCUUCGGUGCCACCCCCCACCAUAAAUAAUGACUGGUCCCUUAGC
rnacentral:lncRNA from 1 species